GGGACAUGUAAUGCAUUUAGAUGGGACAGACAUUUAAUACUGCUCGACUUUUUUUUUCUCCAAUUUUCAGUAACGAAAAUAUCCUUCUCUCCAUAGAACAAAGAAAGAAUAGUAUUAUUGAUUUCUGAUACAUUGUCUGACUUUCUAUGUAUAUAUGUGACAUCCUGAACAAUAUAUAUGUCUUUAUAAUAUCUUACACA
rnacentral:lncRNA from 1 species